GCAUAACGCGAAGAACCUUACCAAGGCUUGACAUACACGAGAACACCCUGGAAACAGGGGACUCUUUGGACACUCGUGAACAGGUGGUGCAUGGUUGUCGUCAGCUCGUGUCGUAAGAUGUUGGGUUAAGUCCCGCAACGAGCGCAACCCUCGUUCUAUGUUGCCAGCACGUAAUGGUGGGAACUCAUGGGAUACUGCCGGGGUCAACUCGGAGGAAGGUGGGGAUGACGUCAAAUCAUCAUGCCCCUUAUGUCUUGGGCUUCACGCAUGCUACAAUGGCCGGUACAAAGGGCUGCAAUACCGUGAGGUGGAGCGAAUCCCAAAAAGCCGGUCUCAGUUCGGAUUGGGGUCUGCAACUCGACCCCAUGAAGUCGGAGUCGCUAGUAAUCGCAGAUCAGCAACGCUGCGGUGAAUACGUUCCCGGGUCUUGUACACACCG
rnacentral:rRNA from 1 species